rnacentral:rRNA from 1 species
UACGAAGGGGGCUAGCGUUGUUCGGAAUCACUGGGCGUAAAGCGCACGUAGGCGGAUGUGCCAGUCAGGGGUGAAAUCCCGGAGCUCAACUCCGGAACUGCCUCUGAUACAGCACGUCUUGAGUUCGAGAGAGGUGGGUGGAAUUCCUAGUGUAGAGGUGAAAUUCGUAGAUAUUAGGAAGAACACCGGUGGCGAAGGCGGCCCACUGGCUCGAUACUGACGCUGAGGUGCGAAAGCGUGGGGAGCAAAC